GUGAUUGGUCACUUGGGGGCAGCACGUUGUAAACACCACGCGGACGUUUCUUCGCGGUUUAAAGUUAAUAUGGCUAACUAGUUAGCAAACUGUUGCUUAUUUACACUACCGCCAGACACAAGGAAACAUUAACCUGUAUUUGGAGUCGCCUGAGGGAUGAAUACGGGCCACGCAAUCGGAGGGCUGCAAUCUUCUCGAUCAAUUUCUACCUGCGUUCCUCUUUGUGAUGUUUUGGGACACAUUCCAGUCCAAUAUCUACAACGCUAUUUUGGCCGAACAAUCAAAUUGAACGAGUGGGUGAGGAGAGCGGCCACAAGAGGUGGAAAUCAUCGCCUGAGAGGAAGCAGGAAGUGGCUGCUGAUGGCGUCAGGAUCGAGGUGUCGCUCCCUGCCUGGGUGCUCUGCCGUGCCACAUCUGUCCAUCUGUCAAGCAUACAGGCCCAUCAAUCAAACAGCUGAAUGCAGGUUUUCUGUCCAUAAACAACUCUCCUGUCUACCUGAGGCCAGAAAAAGAUAUUUUUUAAAGAAGAACAAAUGACACCUGUGAGUGAUAGAAGGCCUCAAAUAGAGAGAAAGUGAGGAGAGAAAGAACCAUCACCGACUUAUUAGCCUGGUGGUCUCGGAGCGAGACACUGGCCAAUAAAAAAGCUGUCUCUUCUCUGGAUUAUCCCAGCGUUGAUGGAACUGACAGGCCGCUUCUCGCUUCGGGAUUCCCAUUUGGGAGCAAAGACAACUGGUUUCUGUGGUUUUAUUCAACCGUCCUGGCCCAUCACUCUCACAUUCUCUGUACACAAAUAGACCCUGGGGGUUCGCCCGAGGACGAGUAGCCGCCCCCCCAAAGAAGCUGGUGAAAAGCAGCUGAAGGAACAGUAAUAACAGACAGUAAUAUAAACAUUGGAGGCAAAUCCUGCCAGCAAGUUUAUUAAAAAUAGACUAAAUUGUUGGUGCUUGUGUUCCUGGUGAAGUGUCAACUUUUAUAGAACUCAACAACUUUCCAAAUAUUUGGUUUCUAUGCUGAGAGGCUCGUAGUUUUAGAUAUUUAUUUGGCCACUUGGGGGCAGCACAAGUUCUAAACACAACACUGACAUAUUAUCACUUUAAUUUACACAUCCAACAGACAUGGAGCAAUAUUUACUCCACCUUUUAGUCACCAUCAAAGCAAAAUGGAGCUUUUUAGAUGUUUCCAAGGUCAGGAGG
rnacentral:lncRNA from 1 species